AUGAGGCCGACGGAGUUAAGAUUUGACAAGCUUCAGUUGUGGGCUAGGGUUCCCAACCUUCCCUUCAACUUGCAGAAUGAAACUUGGGGCCUGGCAAUAGCUAGACAGAUAGACAAGAAUGUGACCUCGGUACAGUUUGAUCCUGUAGGAGGAUUUCUGAGAGCAAGGGUGACAAUUGAUGUUAACAAACCACUAAGAAGGUGGAUUCUUAUUGAGUCAGCAAGAAGGAAGAGCGGGGACUGGUAUGUGAUACGUCUCUGCCAUAUCUAUAAUUUUUUAUUGUUCCAUGCCAAUAUUCUACAACUUUCAUAUACUUUUGGCAACUUUUUAUACUAUUUUUGGGACUAA
rnacentral:rRNA from 1 species